UCAAAGCAGAGCAUGCCACCACUUUCAAGAACCUGUCACUGACAGCAACACACAGCAGUGAAAAUCUUCUCCGCCACUUGUCAUGGAUACGGAUAAAGAUGGUAACUACAAGACAGUUUCUCUGAUCCUAGCUCAACCAUGAUAAAUAUGCGCCCAUAAGUGUGAACUGCAGCAGGAGCACUGCUGCCUCUACACACAGAAGUCCAACUCUCUAACUUCACACAUGCCUGCACUUCAGAAAAAAAGAAGUCAGCAAAGAUCACAGAACAUCCUUAUCCCAAAUUCUAACCAAAGAGCAAUGCAGAACCAAGAGGACAACAUCUACAGUGAGAUCAGAGUCCUGACAGAUAAAGGCCAUCUGAGUGAGCUCCUGAGAGUCUGAUGUGAGAUCAGAAGAACGCAAUUCAAAGGAGAGGAGGCAUCACCUUCUGUUGGAGUGGAUCAGCCCUGCCAGACAAGGCACGCUGCAGCUCAGUGGGGUGGAACAGUUGCCCUCCAGUUUGUAACAAUGCAAUGUACAACUGCUUGUCUGUGUGCAACAGGUGGGUGGUGGAAGGGGAGAGGGGCAGUCUGUUGUAUUUUCCUCUGUCUCCAUGACAGAAUUAGUUAUAUGGUAACAAAGAACAGUUGGCUAAAAGUCACAAGAGAAUUGUAGUUGUACCAGAAAACAUAGAGUAUAUGCAAGUUACUACUUGUUAGCAAUGUUCUCAUUGUAAAAGCCUGAGGUGCAGCUGCUCGAGAAUUUUCUGCAUUGACUAUAUGUUUGCCUCUUUAUGAAAUGUCAAUAUUAAACCAUUUCAAAGAAACUGAAAGUUCAAAUUGGCAAAUAA